GUACUGAUUUACUAAACAUGUUUUUUUUGUACAUUACAUCACACAUGUACCUAGUACCAUUACUAAGUAUAGAGUUGAACAAAUAAAAUAAAAUAGAAAGAAGCUUAUCCCAAUUUAUUAUUAACUGUGUGAUUUUGUAUGGUCGUCAAGAAAUAGCGUUACGAGGCCAGAGAGAUUCUGGAAACAGAAACAACCAAUCAACCAAUCUGGGUAAUUUUAGAGCUAUACUUAACUAUCGUAAAGAUGAUGAUAAUUUAAAAUAUCAUUUAGAAGAUCAAGGAAGAAACAAAUACAUUACUCCUCAAGUUCAAAAUUAAAUUAUUUCAGCAUGUGGAGAAAUAAUUUUAAAAGAAAUAGUAAAUGAAGUAAAUAACUCUCAUUGUUUUACCAUGUCAGCAGAUGAAACCACUGACGUAACAGUUGUCGAACAGUUGGCAUUAUGUGUUAGAUAUGUUGAUUCAUAAUAUAAUAUUAAAGAAAAUUUUCUUAAAUUUAUACCUGCACAUAGCCUAACUGGGAAAAAUCUAUCAGAGUCUAUUAUAAGUGGAUUAACUGAAUGUGGAAUUAACUGCAAUUUCCUUUAUGGUCAAGAAUAUUACGGUGUUAAAAACAUGUCAGGCCAAUUCAAUAGUGCACA